rnacentral:rRNA from 1 species
GACGAAAGCUGGCGGCGUGCUUAACACAUGCAAGUCGAACGAUGAAGCCGGAGCUUGCUCUGGUGAAUUAGUGGCGAACGGGUGAGUAACACGUGAGUAACCUGCACUUGACUCUGGGAUAACUGCGGGAAACUGUAGCUAAUACCGGAUACGACCCUCGGAGGCAUCUCCUGGGGGUGGAAAGAAUUUCGGUCAAGGAUGGACUCGCGGCCUAUCAGCUAGGUGGUGAGGUAAAGGCUCACCAAGGCGACGACGUGUAGCCGGCCUGGGAGGGUGACCGGCCACACUGGGACUGAGACACGGCCCAGACUCCUACGGGAGGCAGCAGUGGGGAAUAUUGCACAAUGGGCGCAAGGCUGAUGCAGCAACGCCGCGUGAGGGAUGACGGCCUUCGGGUUGUAAACCUCUUUUAGCAGGGAAGAAGCGAAAGUGACGGUACCUGCAGAAAAAGCACCGGCUAACUACGUGCCAGCAGCCGCGGUAA